rnacentral:rRNA from 1 species
UACGAGGGGGGCAAGUGUUGUUCGGAAUUACUGGGCGUAAAGGGAGCGUAGGCGGGCUCUUAAGUUGGAUGUUUAAAAACCGGGGCCUAACCCCGGCGUGGCAUCCAAAACUGGGAGUCUUGAAUGGGACAGAGGCCAGUGGAAUUAGAGGUGUAGCGGGUGGAAUGCGUAGAUAUCUCUAAGAACACCAGUUGCGAAGGCGGCUGGCUGGGUCCACAUUGACGCUGAGGCUCGAAAGCGUGGGAGCAAACAGG